UACGUAGGGGGCGAGCGUUAUCCGGAUUCACCGGGUGUAAAGGGAGCGUAGACGGCCAUGCAAGCCAGGGGUGAAAGCCCGGGGCCCAACCCCGGGACUGCCCUUGGAACUGCAUGGCUGGAGUGCGGGAGGGGCAGGCGGAAUUCCUGGUGUAGCGGUGAAAUGCGUAGAUAUCAGGAGGAACACCGGCGGCGAAGGCGGCCUGCUGGACCGCGACUGACGUUGAGGCUCGAAAGCGUGGGGGGCGAACAGG
rnacentral:rRNA from 1 species